rfam:Glycine soja cultivar W05 C25391463_1, whole genome shotgun sequence.
UUCUGAUUAAACAAUAACUGUUACGUGUCACAUUUUGAUUAGAUGUUGACUUCAUGAACAAUGAAAAUAUAUUAUUGUUAUUAUCGUCCAAUCAAAAUAUUACAUGUGAUGGUCAUCGUCU